rnacentral:rRNA from 1 species
UACAGAGGGUGCGAGCGUUAAUCGGAGUUACUGGGCGUAAAGGGCGCGUAGGCGGUUAUUUAAGUGAGAUGUGAAAAUCCCUGGGCUUAACCUAGGAAUUGCAUUUUAGACUAGAUGACUGGAGUACAGUAGAGGGUAGCGGAAUUUCCGGUGUAGCGGUGAAAUGCGUAGAGAUCGGAAGGAACAUCAGUGGCGAAGGCGGCUACCUGGACUGAAAACUGACGCUGAGGCGCGAAAGCGUGGGGAGCAAACAGG